rnacentral:rRNA from 1 species
GUCCACGCUGUAAACGAUGGGUGCUAGGCGUCGGGGGAGCGACCCUUCGGUGCCGUCGCUAACGCAAUAAGCACCCCGCCCUGGGGAGGUACGGUCGCAAGACUGAAACUCAAAGGAAUUGACGGGGGCCCGCACAAGCGGUGGAGCAUGUGGUUUAAUUCGAAGCAACGCGAAGAACCUUACCUGGGCUUGACAUGCACGGGAAAGCCGGUGGAAACAUCGGCCCCUCUUCGGAGUCCGUGCACAGGUGCUGCAUGGCUGUCGU